AUUGAACGCUGGCGGCAUGCUUUACACAUGCAAGUCGAACGGCAGCGCGGGGCAACCUGGCGGCGAGUGGCGAACGGGUGAGUAAUACAUCGGAACGUACCCAGAAGUGGGGGAUAACGUAGCGAAAGUUACGCUAAUACCGCAUACGUUCUACGGAAGAAAGUGGGGGACCUUCGGGCCUCAUGCUUUUGGAGCGGCCGAUGUCUGAUUAGCUAGUUGGUAGGGUAAAGGCCUACCAAGGCGACGAUCAGUAGCUGGUCUGAGAGGACGACCAGCCACACUGGGACUGAGACACGGCCCAGACUCCUACGGGAGGCAGCAGUGGGGAAUUUUGGACAAUGGGCGCAAGCCUGAUCCAGCGAUGCCGCGUGAGUGAAGAAGGCCUUCGGGUUGUAAAGCUCUUUUGUCAGGGAAGAAACGGCUGAGGAUAAUACCUUCGGCUAAUGACGGUACCUGAAGAAUAAGCACCGGCUAACUACGUGCCAGCCGCCGCUGUAACAC
rnacentral:rRNA from 1 species